GUCGGGGUCGUUGUUCGACGUACCCGUCGGAAGCCUUGUCAGUUAGCAGUCUGCCUUUCGGCGGGCAACAUCCGCCUGUAGCUGGAAAUUUUGCCCUUUUCGGGGCGAACAAUCAGCUGCUGCAUGCCAAAACCAUGCAGUCCACAGAUCAAACGCGGGUGGCCUCUCUCCCUUUAUAGCUUGAAGAGGUUAAGAUAUGACCGUAGCAGUUCUGCGAAGAGCUUGGUUUACUAGUUCCGUAGGUGAACCUGCGGAAGGAUCAUUACCGAGAGGGGGGCUCACGCGCCCCAGGGGUUCUGCCCCGCACCUUUCCACCCUAUGUGUAUCUUCUACUGUUGCUUUGGCGGGCCCCGGGGCUUAUUUCCCGGCGCUGCCCCUGCAAGGAGCUCGCGAGCGCCCGCCGAAGGCCUAUCAUCAAUCUGUUUUAUCAUGCAGUCUGAGUAUACGAAAAUCAAUUAAAACUUUCAACAACGGAUCUCUUGGUUCUGGCAUCGAUGAAGAACGCAGCGAAAUGCGAUAAGUAAUGUGAAUUGCAGAAUUCAGUGAAUCAUCGAAUCUUUGAACGCACAUUGCGCCCUCUGGUAUUCCGGGGGGCAUGCCUGUUCGAGCGUCAUUACACCCCUCAAGCACUGCUUGGUAUUGGGUGCUCGCCAUCCCUCUAGGGUGGUGCGCCCGAAAUUCAGUGGCGGUCUCGGUAGACUUCAAGCGUAGUAAAUAUUCCGCUUUGGAAGCCUCUACCGGCGGUUCAGCCAGUAAAAUCUUCUUGUCCAACACAUUGACCUCGGAUCAGGUAGGGAUACCCGCUGAACUUAAGCAUAUCAU
rnacentral:rRNA from 1 species